rnacentral:rRNA from 1 species
UACGUAGGGUGCAAGCGUUGUCCGGAAUUAUUGGGCGUAAAGAGCUCGUAGGCGGCCUGUCGCGUCGGCUGUGAAAACCCGAGGCUCAACCUCGGGCCUGCAUUCGAUACGGGCAGGCUAGAGUUCGGUAGGGGAGACUGGAAUUCCUGGUGUAGCGGUGAAAUGCGCAGAUAUCAGGAGGAACACCGGUGGCGAAGGCGGGUCUCUGGGCCGAUACUGACGCUGAGGAGCGAAAGCGUGGGGAGCGAACAGG